GAUGAACGCUGGCGGCGUGCCUAAUACAUGCAAGUCGAGCGAACUGAUUAGAAGCUUGCUUCUAUGACGUUAGCGGCGGACGGGUGAGUAACACGUGGGCAACCUGCCUGUAAGACUGGGAUAACUUCGGGAAACCGAAGCUAAUACCGGAUAGGAUCUUCUCCUUCAUGGGAGAUGAUUGAAAGAUGGUUUCGGCUAUCACUUACAGAUGGGCCCGCGGUGCAUUAGCUAGUUGGUGAGGUAACGGCUCACCAAGGCAACGAUGCAUAGCCGACCUGAGAGGGUGAUCGGCCACACUGGGACUGAGACACGGCCAAGACUCCUACGGGAGGCAGCAGUAGGGAAUCUUCCGCAAUGGACGAAAGUCUGACGGAGCAACGCCGCGUGAGUGAUGAAGGCUUUCGGGUCGUAAAACUCUGUUGUUAGGGAAGAACAAGUACGAGAGUAACUGCUCGUACCUUGACGGUACCUAACCAGAAAGCCACGGCUAACUACGUGCCAGCAGCCGCCGUAAUAC
rnacentral:rRNA from 1 species